GUGAGUAAUACACAGACAACCUACCCUUAAGUGUGGAAUAGCCAAGGGAAACCUUGGGUAAUACCGCAUGAAACCCUGAUACCAUAAGGUCAUCAGGAUCAAACAUAUGGGAGCAAUCCUGUGUGGCUAAAGGAGGGGUUUGUGUCCUAUCAGGUAGUUGGUGAGGUAAUGGCCCACCAAGCCUAUGACGGGUAGUCGGUCUGAAAGGAUGGUCGACCACACUGGAACUGAGACACGGUCCAGACUCCUACGGGAGGCAGCAGUGGGGAAUAUUGCGCAAUGGGGGAAACCCUGACGCAGCGACGCCGCGUGAAGGACGAAGGCCUUCGGGUUGUAAACUUCUUUUGUAGGGGACGAAGAGGCGGGUAGAAAGGUAGAUAGGUAGAAGGGUAGGAGGAAGGUCGGUUUUCGUACCCCUUCUCACCUUCUUACUCUCUUACUUUCUACCCGUCUUUGACGGUACCCUACGAAUAAGCCACGGCUAACUACGUGCCAGCAGCCGCGGUAAUACGUAGGUGGCAAAUGUUACUCGGAUUUACUAGGCGUAAAGCGCAUGCAGGCGGUUCAAUAAGUCCUUUGUAAAAUUCUUCGGUUCAACCGAAAAAAGUCAACGGAUACUAUUGGGCUUGAGUGUGGAAAAGGGAACCGGAAUUCCUGGUGUAGCGGUGAAAUGCGUAGAUAUCAGGAGGAACACCAAUGGCAAAAGCAGGUUCCUGGGCCAAUACUGACGCUCAGAUGCGAAAGCUAGGGGAGCAAACAGGAUUAGAUACCCU
rnacentral:rRNA from 1 species